rnacentral:rRNA from 1 species
GACGAACGCCGGCGGCGUGCCUAAUACAUGCAAGUCGAGCGGACGAAUCGAAAGCUUGCUUUUGAUUCGUUAGCGGCGGACGGGUGAGUAACACGUGGGCAACCUGCCCUGUAGACGGGGAUAACACCGAGAAAUCGGUGCUAAUACCGGAUAACACGAAAUGUCGCAUGACGUUUCGUUGAAAGACGGCGCAAGCUGUCGCUACAGGAUGGGCCCGCGGCGCAUUAGCUAGUUGGUGAGGUAACGGCUCACCAAGGCGACGAUGCGUAGCCGACCUGAGAGGGUGAUCGGCCACACUGGGACUGAGACACGGCCCAGACUCCUACGGGAGGCAGCAGUAGGGAAUCUUCCGCAAUGGACGAAAGUCUGACGGAGCAACGCCGCGUGAGCGAAGAAGGCCUUCGGGUCGUAAAGCUCUGUUGUUAGGGAAGAACAAGUAACGCAGUAACUGGCGUUACCGUGACGGUACCUAACGAGAAAGCCACGGCUAACUACGUG